rnacentral:lncRNA from 10 species
GACGGCGCAGCAGAGCCCGAGGAGGCCCCACCCUCCGUGCGCUCGUUGGCUGGCGAGGGAGACGAGCCUGGGCGCCUUGGGCACGCCCAUUGGCUCCGACGGCCGUCCUUCAGGGCGCCCCCUCGGUGGGGUGGCCGAAGAGCUGUCCGUCAGGUGCGGGCCACACCCGCGGCCCUGCAGUUCCACUCCCGCCUGCCAGCCCUCAACUCCCGGUCGGGUUGUCUCCCCGCCGGUCUCCCGCCCCCAGCUACCGGGUCCGCCAGGGUCAGGAGCCCGAGAUUCGCCGCCCGUCGUAGCGGCCCGCUUCGGCCCCUCGGGGCCCGGGGCUCUCCGGGACCUACACAGCCCGGGAGACUCCGGCGGGGCUGCCUGCCCUCGCCCGAGCCCGGGGGCCCAAGCUGCGGCAGCGGCUCCCAACGCCUCUGCUCGAGGAGAGCGGCGGCCUGGAUGCCCCAGCGCCCUCCCUGUCCAGUUCCUUGAAGGCCCCCAAGAGGGGCGAGGCCGGGGAGGUGCUGGAGCGGGGCCAAGUGAGCUUUCGGGGCCGCGGUUGAACUGGAGUCUUGAGUGCGCUGCGGUCAGUGGAGGCCCUUCCACCCUCGCCGCGCCCCGUGGGGAAUAGUCCCCCACCUCCCGCCAUGGCUGCAGCAGGAGGAGACGACGUCCUCCAUUUUGUCGGGACAACUGUGGGAACUUGGGACCCCUCAAAACCAAACCCCGUGGGGCCAGGACUUGUCCCGGAAGCCCCGACUGGGCUCUGCCAUUCGGACAAGGGAACAGCCCCAGCUGCCGGCGUCUGCGUCCGCGGGGCAGUACUGGUCGGGCGCGACGGUGGAGACACCCAGACGCAGCUCCCCGCCUCCAUCAACCAAGAUGGAGGGAGCUGCAGGCUCCCUUGGAGCUGGGCUCUCGCGGGUUGGAGGGGCUGAGGCCUGCCCUGGGGCGUCCCUGGGCGCCGCCGUCCUGUGCUAGCAGCCCGGGGCGCUGGCCCUGCCUAGGCCUUUUUACUGCCUGCCACCGUCUCCUGGUCCGGAAUGGUUGAUGGAGACUCCAUGGAGGCUCCCUCCACAGCCCGCUCUAUCGCGGGGCGCACCCGCUGCGGCCCCUGCGGGGAGCAGAAUCAGGGACAGAUGGCGCCCGGUGAGGGCGGGCCCCACAGGCCACCUCCACGAGGGGUCUUCUCUUUUGUUCCUCGUCUACACCUACGUCUUCGGCGGAUGUCAUGGUGCUGAACCAUUUCCCGGACUCCACGUAAAGAUGGAAGCGAUUCCGCUUUCGUCUCGCCCUGGCGGUUCUUAGUGGGAUUACAAUUGAGGAUGUUAGUUUGGAUGAAAGUUGGUGAAAUACUUACCUUAUGUCUGGAAAUACAGAUAAUGUGAUUUUUAAAAAACACAUUGAGCCCCGUUUUACUUCUGUGGUAUGGUAAAGGCACAGGUUUAUUCAAUGAAAAUCAGACGUUAACCAUCUAAUGCAGGGGUGGCCAAUCUUUUGGCUUCCCGGGGCCACAUUGGAAGAAUUGGCUUGGGCCACACAUAAAAUACGCUAACAGUAACAAUAGCUGAUGAGCUAAAACAAACGAAAAAACCAAAACGCCAAAAAAAUCUCAUAACGUUUUAAGAAAAUUUACAAAUAUGUGUUGGGCUGCAUUCAAAGCCGUCCUGGGCCGCAUGCAACCCCCAAGGGCUGCAGGUUGGACAAGCUUGAUCUAAGACAAAAGCAUGUUCACGGAUUGAUGAGAGUUCUGUGUAAGCCUUUGCAUAUUGCAUAGUGCUGUAUGUCAUGGAUAUGCCUAAUAUCACCUACAUUUUUUAGGUCCUCAGUUACUCUUUGGAAAUAAGUGAAUUACAUGUAAUGUCAUCAUUUUAAUGACUGCUGUAAAUUACAAGCACUGACUACCCUGAGUUCGUGGAGAAGGGCUCCAUAGAGAAAAUUUGAAGGUCUGACAGAAACUUUAAAUGGAUGAAGCACAUCUUUGACGCGAAAACUUCGGGAUAUCUGACA